UACGGAGGGUGCGAGCGUUGUCCGGAAUCACUGGGCGUAAAGGGCGCGUAGGCGGCCUGAUAAGUAGGGGGUGAAAUCCUGCGGCUUAACCGCAGGGCUGCCUUCUAAACUGUCAGGCUGGAGCACAGUAGAGGCAGGUGGAAUUCCCGGUGUAGCGGUGGAAUGCGUAGAGAUCCGGAAGAACACCGGUGGCGAAGGCGGCCUGCUGGGCAGUGGCUGACGCUGAGGCGCGAAAGCGUGGGGAGCAAACAGG
rnacentral:rRNA from 1 species